CAGUCGUGCCGACGAGAAAUCAACCUUUCGAGUGCGAACCUGCGGGCGUGCGUGAGUCUUUAACGGGCCUCGCUGUUUGCAAUGUUUGUGCUUUUGGGUGUUAUAGCCUUGUGUUGUAUGUCUUGGUUGGGACUGAGGAACGCAGCGCGCCAUUUUGGCCGGGGGUCGCUCCUCUCGACACGCGCUUAGGAUGCUGGCAUAAUGGCUUUAAGCGACCCGUCUUGAAA
rnacentral:rRNA from 1 species